UGGCUCAGAUUGAACGCUGGCGGCAGGCUUAACACAUGCAAGUCGAACGGUAGCAGGAGAAAGCUUGCUUUCUUGCUGACGAGUGGCGGACGGGUGAGUAAUGCUUGGGAAUCUGGCUUAUGGAGGGGGAUAACUACGGGAAACUGUAGCUAAUACCGCGUAAUAUCGAAAGAUUAAAGUGUGGGACCUUCGGGCCACAUGCCAUGGGAUGAGCCCAAGUGGGAUUAGGUAGUUGGUGGGGUAAAGGCCUACCAAGCCUGCGAUCUCUAGCUGGUCUGAGAGGAUGGCCAGCCACACUGGAACUGAGACACGGUCCAGACUCCUACGGGAGGCAGCAGUGGGGAAUAUUGCGCAAUGGGGGGAACCCUGACGCAGCCAUGCCGCGUGAAUGAAGAAGGCCUUCGGGUUGUAAAGUUCUUUCGGUAUUGAGGAAGGAGUGUAUGUUAAUAGCAUACAUUAUUGACGUUAAAUACAGAAGAAGCACCGGCUAACUCCGUGCCAGCAGCCGCGGUAAUACGGAGGGUGCGAGCGUUAAUCGGAAUAACUGGGCGUAAAGGGCACGCAGGCGGUUAUUUAAGUGAGGUGUGAAAGCCCCGGGCUUAACCUGGGAAUUGCAUUUCAGACUGGGUAACUAGAGUACUUUAGGGAGGGGUAGAAUUUCCACGUGUAGCAGUGAAAUGCGUAGAGAUGUGGAGGAAUACCGAUGGCGAAGCAGCCUCCUGGGAUACACUGACGUUCAUGCUCGAAGCGUGGUAGCAAACAGGAUUAGAUACCU
rnacentral:rRNA from 1 species